GUGGGGGAGCCCGGGCUCUGACCGCGUGCCUGUUGAAGAAUGAGCCGGCGACUCAUAGGCAGUGGCUUGGUUAAGGGAACCCAUUGGAGCCGUAGCGAAAGCGAGUCUUCAUAGGGCAAUUGUCACUGCUUAUGAACCCGAACCUGGGUGAUCUAUCCAUGACCAGGAUGAAGCUUGGGUGAAACUAAGUGGAAGUCCGAACCGACUGAUGUUGAAGAAUCAACGGAUAAGUUGUAGUUAGGGGUGAAAUGCCACUCGAACCUAGAGCUAGCCGAUUAUAUAUAUAUAUUUCGAA
rnacentral:ncRNA from 1 species